UAUAUCAAAGCAGUCAACCACAAACACAUACACCUGUGCCCUCAGAAGAGGCACAUGGAGCUAAGUGAUGACCCUACGCCAUGCAGAUACCUGGGAACGUGGCAUGAUUUCAGUAUCCAUGCUGCAGGAUCAUACGCCAGGGAAUGCAUACGAUCCAAGAAGACAUUCUCUUCAGUAGCAAAUUCAUCAUGGUCAGAGGUAAAGGCACGGUUAGAAGCUAACAUAGUCAUGUGUAACACCAUAAUUAGAUUGCUUGAAACUGACCUAUGUCCAGUGCCAAUAUUUCCUAGGUUCUUUUAGGAUUGUCCGUAGUUGAUUGCAAAUUUGAGAAUAUGGAAUGAAGAUAAUAUGUACCGUACACAACUUAUGGGAAAUGUAAACCCACAACAUGGUACAUUUGCUGUGAAGUCGGUCUGGAUCACUUUCAAGGACUCAGAGAAUAUAUCCCACAGAACAAGACCGAAAAAAAAUGGUGAUUCUCCAAAGGCCACCAGUGAAGCAGUGAUGGAAGUUUGUAG